rnacentral:lncRNA from 1 species
CCGAGCGGCGGAAGAAUAUACUUCAAGUUUGUGAUGCUGGGCAAUAGCAGCUGCUGUGGUCUACACAUUGUAAUGCAGACGAUAAUUUGUUUUAUAUUUGGAAUCCUUGAAAAGAGCUUUUUAUCAGUACAAAUACAAAUUAUUCCACUUACGGAUUGGUAACCCUGAAUUUUCUUUAAUUUCGUUUAAUUAGAUAUUGUAUAACAUGGACUUUUUUUAAUGACGACUUAGUUUUAUGAUUUUCUCAGACAGCACGAACACAACAAAAAGAUUCGAAACUAAUUGCUCGAAUUUUUAAAACUGGUUCUACAAAAACUUUAAAUGAUGUUUACGAUGUCAGAAUAUGAUAUUUCUUAGAGAAAAAAUAUCAUAAGCUGCUCAUCAUUUCUGUAAUUAAGCCUCGAAUAACAAGUUCAAGAUUCACCUGUUUAUCAAGAAAAGUUUCCUUUAGCCAGUAAUUUUUAAUGCGCACAACACAGAACAAUUUUAAUGACGGCACCAACGCAACGGCAUCAUUCAUAAUUGAUUGGGAUAAUAACGUUUACUGGCUCUGGACGAGGGAUCGAUCAGCACAUUUUGUUUGAUCACCUGGCGUAAUCACAGAAAUAUCAGGUUCAUUGGAGUUCUUCAAAGCAGACGCCGCCAGAUGCAUGACGGGAAUUAUAUCGGAAAUGAGGGAACUAGGUCACUCAUUGGAACCAGUAACCUAUCGAUCGGGAGUAAUGUGCCCUGAAUCCCGUUUCUAAUUAGGUUGAGGGAAUAAUGGAGCACAAAUCGAUAGAAAAAAAAUGGAACGAUGCUGGUCCGACUGUAUUCGCGCUAUGCGGGCUUGAGAGAAGACAAGCCAGUUUCUCUUUUAGUACUAAACGUCGAGUAAGGGAGCCACUGAUAGCAUUGUUCAUAUCUUCAAUAUACAGAGGUCAUGGUGCGAAUCCACCGCCUCCCGCACUCGAAGCGCGCACUCUACAACCACAGGCUACCAAGGUGGCUAGGAUGGCACAUCUACCAUACCAUCUUUAAAUCUUCAUUUGGUAAUUCGGGUGCUUGCCAAUACUUGAAGGUUGUUUCUAACUUGCUGUGUCAUUCAAUGAUCUUAGUGGGACAUGAUGAAACGAAACGUGUUGUCUUUCACAUGAUGUUUUAUAUCACCAGUCAAUAGCGAGCUUAUGAAGGAAUCACGUGCUCAAAGUCUGUUAUUCCUGAAGUCAGAUGACACAUGUAUCCAGCAAAAAGCAUUAAAAUUAUAAUAAUAAUGUGAAAAGUCACAUGUAUUUGUCCAUGACUGGAGGGGGAAAACGAGAUUAGGUGUGAACAUGCGAAUAUGGUGCUAAAAUGUAAAUGAUAACGGUGUCGGCUACAAACGACAUUUCUGACACGUAACGUUUUAAGGUGUCCACAGAUGGUAGGUUCUAGUUGUGCAACACCGAUUAUCUUAAAGAUGUAAAAUUUUAAAAUUGUACAAUUUUCACAUAUAACUUUUACGUAGCUCGUGAUGACGUCAUAAUUAUGAUGAUCUAAUGGACAACCUUUUCUCUUCAAAUAAAACAUUUUCUAUGAAAUAAAUAGGAAAAACUUCAGAAACAACAGCAAAAAUAAUAUUUAUUAUCUUAUUCUAGUUUCUGAUUAAUUUCAACUGUCUUUACGACUUAUGUAAUCAAUAUUGAAUUUUAUCUCUCCUUUUUAUUGCUUAUAUUAUGCUUAUAAGCCUCACAUAUUGCAGAGAAAAAUGUGUUUCAUGCGUACAGAUAUUAAACGAGCAAUUACAUUGUUAGAGCAAAGAUACAGAGUGCAUUUUCAUGAUACUUGUGGCUCCAUCGAUCGCCUAGUACAACAUGAAACGAAAUUCCCCGGUUUCCCUGACGAUUCUGUGAAGUUAGAUCUUUCGUGCCAUGUUUGUUCCACCAUACUAACUAUGUCAAAGGAAUAAAAAACGUCUCAUUAACUUCUAUGUACUGGGAACUGGAAGAGUAAUUGGGACAAAACCCUCUCCGACUGCUGCGUAAUUUG